rnacentral:rRNA from 1 species
UCGGGAAUUUUGGGCAAUGGGCGAAAGCCUGACCCAGCAACGCCGCGUGAGGGAUGAAGUAUUUCGGUAUGUAAACCUCGAAAGAAUGGGAAGAAUAAAUGACGGUACCAUUUAUAAGCUCCGGCUAACUACGUGCCAGCAGCCGCGGUAAUACGUAGGGAGCAAGCGUUGUUCGGAAUUACUGGGCGUAAAGCGCGCGUAGGCGGUUUUUUAAGUCAGAGGUGAAAGCCCGGGGCUCAACCCCGGAAUUGCCUUUGAAACUGGAAAACUAGAAUCUUGGAGAGGUCAGUGGAAUUCCGAGUGUAGAGGUGAAAUUCGUAGAUAUGCGGAAGAACACCAGUGGCGAAGGCGACUGACUGGACAAGUAUUGACGCUGAGGUGCGAAAGCGUGGGGAGCAAACA